rnacentral:ncRNA from 2 species
GUGUAGUGUGACCUGAUAAUACGUCAACCCAUCGUGGUUGACUUCUGCUUAAUAGGACAAUUUGUGUGAUUAAUAGUUCUUUCUCAAAAUUAAGGGUAGUGGUGCAUGGCCGUUCUUAGUUCGUGGAAUGAUUUGUCUGGUUAAUUCCGAUAACGAACGUGACUCAAUCAAAUUAAAUAGAACGCUAUCAGCAGUCAGAUGUUUGAUACCGACGGUUCGGGCAACGGUCGCUCGCGGCUCGCGCUCGGCCGGCGGUGUAGUGUGACCUGAUAAUACGUCAACCCAUCGUGGUUGACUUCUGCUUAAUAGGACAAUUUGUGUUCAGCAAAAUGAGAUUGAGCGAUAACAGGUCCGUGAUGCCCUUAGAUGUUCUGGGCUGCACGCGCGCUACAAUGUGCGCAGCAACGCGUAUCCUUGCCCGAAAGGGCCGGGAAAUCGCUUAAAUGCGCAUGCCGGGUAAAGGCAC